AUCUGCGAUAAGCGUCGGUAAGGUGAUAUGAACCGUUAUAACCGGCGAUUUCCGAAUGGGGAAACCCAGUGUGUUUCGACACACUAUCAUUAACUGAAUCCAUAGGUUAAUGAGGCGAACCGGGGGAACUGAAACAUCUAAGUACCCCGAGGAAAAGAAAUCAACCGAGAUUCCCCCAGUAGCGGCGAGCGAACGGGGAGCAGCCCAGAGCCUGAAUCAGUGUGUGUGUUAGUGGAAGCGUCUGGAAAGGCGCGCGAUACAGGGUGACAGCC
rnacentral:rRNA from 1 species